CUCGGCUCUCGGUUCUCAGUUCUCAGUUCUCCUCUCUGUGGUGUCUGUGAUCUUCCAUCAUGGCGGCCUGCAGCCUGAUUGGAGGGAUUGCUGUUCAACAAGCGGCCGCUGGCGCUUUAUGGUUCGGCCCGGCUGUAAAUCCAGAGGCGCUGUCCGGCCUGGCGGCCCGCCUCGCUCUCUGACACCCAGUUUAAUGGUCCAGGGCGCAUCGACGCCAUCCAUCUCACUCCCUCUUUCUGCACUCUUUCUCCAUCCUUCCUAAAUCUCCGUCAUUCAUAAGUCAUAAUGGACUUUAUGUCUUCAAGGCACAGCAGUGAAAUAAGCAGCUGACCUCAUCUGGAAGUUCACAGAUUUCUCCAUCAGGUGGUUUUAUUUUCUCUGCUCCUGGAUGUUUUAUCCCCUGUUUGCUGCUCUGCACCACAAACAGCCUCUAAUCUUCACAAUUCUCCUCCUGAUGAAGGAAAACUUGAUUAUUUGUGACUGCCAGCCUCAGCUCUGCUCCUGUUUUUUCCACGCUGGUGUUUUUGUCAGAUUCUUUCCAGCCGCCUCUCAUAUCUGCUCUGCUCUCUGCCAGCGUUUGGCGCCUCCGUCUUUCUCCGUUUCUCUCUGUCUUCGUUUGAACCGGCGACAUUCCAGUCCAGGCGGAGGCGACAAAGGCCUUGUGUUCACUAAAGGGCAGCGCGACAAGCCAGAGCGUUGUUCCAGUUUCGCUCCAGCAGCUGGAAGGCAGCCUGAGUCCCGCUGAAACGAGUUUUCUUCCUCUACAGAAGAUCCUUCCAGCCCACAGCAUCAGCAACCAGAGCAGACGAUCUGAAACCCUGCUGUAUGUUUUUCCUGGUGAACGUUUAUAUGUCUGCUGACCUCCCUGUGACCCCGCCGCGCAUCAGUCCGAGGGCCACCUGACGCCCGCUGAAUAAUUGAUGCCCAGUCGGGAGAGGCAGGCGAUGCUGCGGGACGACAGGAGGAGAAAGCAGCAGCGUUGGCAGCUCAGCUGUUGUAAAGCAGUUUGAUAUUUUCUGUCGGGAUGACGUCUGAGAGGAAAGAGACGAUGGCAGGAACCAGUUAAACAUUCACUAAAUAUGAAUAAAACAUUAUGCUUUAUUCC